UUGUUGGUAAGGUAAAAGCUUACCAAGGCUUCGAUCAGUAGCUGGUCUGAGAGGACGACCAGCCACACUGGGACUGAGACACGGCCCAGACUCCUACGGGAGGCAGCAGUGGGGAAUUUUGGACAAUGGGGGAACCCUGAUCCAGCCAUGCCGCGUGAGUGAAGAAGGCCUUCGGGUUGUAAAGCUCUUUCAGCCGGAACGAAACGGUUACGGUUAAUACCCGUGACUACUGACGGUACCGGAAGAAGAAGCACCGGCUAACUACGUGCCAGCAGCCGCGGUAAUACGUAGGGUGCGAGCGUUAAUCGGAAUUACUGGGCGUAAAGCGUGCGCAGGUGGUUUUGUAAGUCAGAUGUGAAAGCCCCGGGCUCAACCUGGGAACUGCGUUUGAAACUACAAGACUAGAGUGUGGCAGAGGGGGGUGGAAUUCCGCGUGUAGCAGUGAAAUGCGUAGAGAUGUGGAGGAACACCGAUGGCGAAGGCAGCCCCCUGGGUCAACACUGACGCUCAGGCACGAAAGCAUGGGGAGCAAACAGGAUUAGAUACCCUGGUAGUCCAUGCCCUAAACGAUGUCAACUAGUUGUCGGGCCUUUACGGGCUUGGUAACGUAGCUAACGCGUGAAGUUGACCGCCUGGGGAGUACGAUCGCAAGAUUAAAACUCAAAUGAAUUGACGGGGACCCGCACAAGCGGUGGAUUAUGUGGAUUAAUUCGAUGCAACGCGAAAAACCUUACCUACCCUUGACAUGUAUCGAAGCCCGCAGAAAAGCGGGGGUGCCCGAAAGGGAACGAUAACACAGGUGCUGCAUGGCUGUCGUCAGCUCGUGUCGUGAGAUGUUGGGUUAAGUCCCGCAACGAGCGCAACCCUUGUCAUUAAUUGCCAUCAUUUAGUUGGGCACUUUAAUGAGACUGCCGG
rnacentral:rRNA from 1 species